rnacentral:rRNA from 1 species
AGCGAACGCUGGCGGCAGGCCUAACACAUGCAAGUCGAACGAACCCUUCGGGGUUAGUGGCGGACGGGUGAGUAACACGUGGGAACGUGCCUUUAGGUUCGGAAUAAUUCAGGGAAACUUGUGCUAAUACCGAAUGUGCCCUUCGGGGGAAAGAUUUAUCGCCUUUAGAGCGGCCCGCGUCUGAUUAGCUAGUUGGUGAGGUAAUGGCUCACCAAGGCUACGAUCAGUAGCUGGUCUGAGAGGAUGACCAGCCACAUUGGGACUGAGACACGGCCCAAACUCCUACGGGAGGCAGCAGUGGGGAAUCUUGCGCAAUGGGCGAAAGCCUGACGCAGCCAUGCCGCGUGGAUGAUGAAGGUCUUAGGAUUGUAAAAUCCUUUCGCCGGUGAAGAUAAUGACUGUAGCCGGAGAAGAAGCCCCGGCUAACUUCGUGCCAGCCGCCGCAGUAAAAC